GAUGAAAGAACGCAGCGAAAUGCGAUACGUAAUGUGAAUUGCAAAUUCAGUGAAUCAUCGAGUCUUUGAACGCACAUUGCGCCCCCUGGUAUUCCGGGGGGCAUGCCUGUCCGAGCGUCAUUGCUGCCCUCAAGCACGGCUUGUGUGUUGGGCCCCGUCCUCCGAUCCCGGGGGACGGGCCCGAAAGGCAGCGGCGGCACCGCGUCCGGUCCUCGAGCGUAUGGGGCUUUGUCACCCGCUCUGUAGGCCCGGCCGGCGCUUGCCGAUCAACCCAAAUUUUUAUCCAGGUUGACCUCGGAUCAGGUAGGGAUACCCGCUGAACUUAAGCAUAUCAAUAAGCGGAGGA
rnacentral:misc_RNA from 1 species